UCCUAUGGAUGAGCGGUAGAGGAGCGUUCUGUACGCCUGCGAAGGUCGAUUGAGAAGUCGGCUGGAGGUAUCAGAAGUGCGAAUGCUGACAUGAGUAACGAUAAUCAGGGUGAAAAACCCUGACGCCGAAAACCCAAGGUUUCCUGCGCAACGCUAAUCGACGCAGGGUUAGUCGGUACCUAAGGCGAGGCCGAAAGGCGUAGUCGAUGGCAAACAGGUUAAUAUUCCUGUACCGGUGGUAACUGCGAUGGGGUGACGGAGAAGGCUAGGUCAGCUGCCGGUUGGAAGUGGCAGUUUAAGCGAGUAGGCAGGUCUCUUAGGCAAAUCCGGGAGACUCUAUGCUGAGACGUGACGACGAGUCGCUCUUUUGAGUGACGAAGUGAUUGAUGCCAGGCUUCCAAGAAAAACCUCUAAGCUUCAGGUUAUCAGUGGCCGUACCCCAAACCGACACAGGUGGGUGGGAUGAGAAUUCUAAGGCGCUUGAGAGAACUCGGGUGAAGGAACUAGGCAAAAUGAUACCGUAACUUCGGGAGAAGGUAUGCCUUUGGUAGGUGAAGGUCCUCGCGACUGGAGCCGAAGGAGGUUGCAAUAAACUGGUGGCUGCGACUGUUUAGCAAAAACAUAGCACUCUGCAAACACGAAAGUGGACGUAUAGGGUGUGACGCCUGCCCGGUGCCGGAAGGUUAAUUGAUGGGGUUAGCUCACGCGAAGCUCUUGAUCGAAGCCCCGGUAAACGGCGGCCGUAACUAUAACGGUCCUAAGGUAGCGAAAUUCCUUGUCGGGUAAGUUCCGACCUGCACGAAUGGCGUAACGAUGGCCACACUGUCUCCACCCGAGACUCAGUGAAAUUGAAAUUGCGGUGAAGAUGCCGUAUACCCGCGGCUAGACGGAAAGACCCCGUGAACCUUUACUAUAGCUUGACACUGGACUUUGAACCUACUUGUGUAGGAUAGGUGGGAGGCUGUGAAGCACCAACGCCAGUUGGUGUGGAGCCAUCCUUGAAAUACCACCCUGGUAUGUUUGAAGUUCUAACCUGGGCCCAUGAUCUGGGCUGGGGACAGUGUCUGGUGGGUAGUUUGACUGGGGCGGUCUCCUCCUAAAGAGUAACGGAGGAGCACGAAGGUACCCUCAGCCUGGUCGGAAAUCAGGCAAUGAGUGCAAUGGCAUAAGGGUGCUUGACUGCGAGAUAGACACAUCGAGCAGGUACGAAAGUAGGUCAUAGUGAUCCGGUGGUUCUGUAUGGAAGGGCCAUCGCUCAACGGAUAAAAGGUACUCCGGGGAUAACAGGCUGAUACCGCCCAAGAGUUCAUAUCGACGGCGGUGUUUGGCACCUCGAUGUCGGCUCAUCACAUCCUGGGGCUGAAGCAGGUCCCAAGGGUAUGGCUGUUCGCCAUUUAAAGUGGUACGCGAGCUGGGUUCAGAACGUCGUGAGACAGUUCGGUCCCUAUCUGCCGUGGGCGUUUGAGAUUUGAGGGAAGCUGCUCCUAGUACGAGAGGACCGGAGUGGACGAACCUCUGGUGUUCCGGUUGUCACGCCAGUGGCAUGGCCGGGUAGCUAUGUUCGGACAGGAUAACCGCUGAAAGCAUCUAAGCGGGAAGCCCCUCCCAAGAUGAGAUCUCACUGGGACCAUGAGUCC
rnacentral:rRNA from 1 species